rnacentral:miRNA from 1 species
CUUAUGCAACGUCUGAGGAU